rnacentral:tRNA from 1 species
GUUUCUGUAGUUGAGGAAGACAACGAUGGCUUUUCAAGCCAUAGGGCUUGGAUAGAGACCAGGCAGAAAUU